rnacentral:lncRNA from 1 species
UCAUCCUUGAAAGGUAGAAAAAAAUAUUUUUUUAUCUUGCAAAAACAAAUGGUUGCUUAAAAUAGAAAAAAUGUUGAAAGUGGUUAACUUAAGGUUUUCAUUCAGCACACCUGAUAUAACAACAAUCCUAGAUAGAUGGGUAAAAUAGUCAUUUACUGUCUUUUAGAUUGUUCAUUUAGCACACAAAAAGAAACAACAAUUUUCAUCUAACAAAUCAAUUGUCUUGUGUUUGUAAAUUUUUGUCUUUUUCGCAGCAGAGUAUGAAACCCCAUAGAAUUCUCUAAAUCAGGUAAAUUUGUUUUUUCUCCAACCAUAAUAUCUUCAUUAAGUUAUGAUUAUAUUAAAAAAUCUUUACGAUUAUCACUUUAAGGGUUUUAAAUGGUUUUCUAAAAUCGAACUACAUAAUAACUAAAGGACAAAAACGUAAUUUACAAUUGCAAACUCCUUGUUUCUUUUUGUUUUUCCCACCAAUAUAUGGAUAAAUGAGGGCAAAUUUGUAAAUUGUUAUGAGUUAUGUCUUGUCUCCGUUACAAAGAGAAUGAAAAUAUACUUUAUUUGUAACAUUUUGUAAUUACAAGAGAUUUCAUCUUGUUGCGUUUGUAAAUUUAUUGAAUCUUUGAAAAAGAACCAAGGUCUUAUUUGCUUUUGACUUGAGUGGGACAUGAAUUGGGUGGUGUUUGUUUUUUUGAGAAAGAUUUUAUUCAUCACUUAUGUUUUUCUUGUUUGCAUGCGGGCAAAAAUGUGAAAAAAAUUGUUUGUUUUGUAAAUUUUUUACGGAAAAUGAAUGUUUUCUUAAAUUACAAAGAAGUUGGAAAUUUUGGAAAAGCAAUAAUUAUUAUUUUCCAUAUUUUCUAAUUCCAUAGUUACUAAUAACAUAAUUUAAAAUGUGAAUAUAUGACAAAAUGGUCAUUUGUAAACUUAGCUAAAGUUCAUGAUGAAUAUUAUGAGAUUUGUUCUUUUGAAUAUAAGGGUAAAAUGGUCAUUUGGUCUCAUUUAGACAGUUUUUCAUCAAAUUAUUUUUGUAUGUUUUUUAUUGUGAUACGGGAGUCUCUUCUAUUGUUUUUCUCAAUGCUACUAUGCGUUAUUCUAAUGAGAAAUUCUUUUGUAGGUUGGAACAUGCCAAGAGAUGAACUUAAAUAAAUGGGCAACUUGAAAGAAUCAAGGUUUGUUUUUGAAUUUUUUUUUAUAUAUAAAUAUUUAACAUGGUUUAAUGAGGACAAUAAAGCCUUCUUUAUGUUUUUUCCACUCCAUUAAAUUUUGUCAGUAGAAAUGAUGUGUGAAAAAUAUUUUGAGGAAACAAAAAGAAAAUCUAUGUUAAUGUUGAGAGCUUUGUUCCCACUUUCUCAAUUAAGCCGUUCUUUCUGUGUUAAGUAAAAAAGAAACAUAUACAUCAAUAGAUAAGGUGUAUAUAUGAGUAGUUCUUUUUUCAAUUAAUAUAGAUAAUAACAACUUUAUAAAGAGAUUUAGGGAAUUGAGUCUUUCCCCAUUAAGACCUAAAUUUUUACAAUUUUUUCGACAUUAAUAGUUAAUAGUCAAUACAGAAGCAACUAUUUCACUUAUCUUUAACUUGUUUUUUCAGUUAAAAAAAAGGGUCCAUCUGUUCAUGAAGAUUCUCAAAGCACUAUAAUUUGAUGGCCGUGAAGACACUUGAGAAUGUUUAUUUUUAUUUUGAUGUCUUUUAAUUUUAAAAUAUUUUUUUUGUAAAAAUUCAAUAUCUAUUUGUAAGAAAUAGUGACAUACUUUCGAUGGUAUGUUAUUUAUAGCAUUCUACUUCUAUCAUUAGCUAUGAAAAUUCUAUCCAAUUAUAUCUAUGAAAAAUGUAUAGCAACUCAGUUAUAGCGUAUUGUCUUUCUCGUAGUUUCUUAAGCAGUGACCACUUUUUUUGGUCUCUAACAAUAUUUAUUUAUGUUGGAUUAGUGUCUAAGUCCAUAACUAUUUUGGUAUGUACUUGACCCGAUGGUGCAUGGUCCUUUUGGGUUGCCUUCACCAAAGCAACUUGAUUGGAGAAAUGAAUAAAGAGAGAGAGAAUAAUAUGAUUUAUUAAUAUGUUAUAAGAAUAAUAUAUUAAAGGAGAAAUCAUAUUUGUUUAAUUAAGAUUGGUCAAUAAUUAAUUAAGAAUUAGUUUUGUGAUCAAAUGUAAUUAAUUAAACUAGAGGGGCUGAUUUGUAAUUAUGUGAUAGUUACAAAAAAUAAGGUAAGAAUUAUCUUAUAAGUAUGGUGGACGAAUUUAAGGUUGGAAAGCCUUAGAAUUCGAGUAUGAUAAGGAUUCAAGGAUUAUCUUAUUGGUUGCUUGGUGGAUAAGCAACUAGAUAAGGAUAAUGACUGAAACCCUAUCUCUACACCUAUAUAAACAACCCCAAGGUCAUGAAUUCGGGUAACCCUUCCCAAGAAGUCCUAGGGACGAAUUCUAACCUCUCUCCUCUCUCUUUAUACCUUCUCCACUUGCUUAUGGUGUUUGUAAGCCAUUAGAGGAGUGACACUUGUGACUCUCAGCUUUCCAAGGUCAAUUCAAGGAGGAAUUGGAUUGUUAUUGCUAUAUAACAAUCAAGGUAUGUUCUUAAACCUAAUUACAUGUGAAUUCUGAUUUCCAUAUGCUAGAAUUAGGGUUCAUAGUCUUAGAUUCAAAGUAUGUACAAUAGAGAAACCUAGAUCCAAGCUUUAGGGUUUGUAUGAGCACAUAGGAUGUCUUAUGACCAAAACCCAUCAAUUUAGUGACCACUUUUUGUGGUCACUAAUUAUAUAAAUUAGUGACGACUUUCACUGAUUAGUGACAAGAUUUAGUGACGAAACCGGUUGUCACAGAUUUAGUGACCAUUAUAUUUUAGUCACUAUUCAGUGAUCAUAUAUAUAUUUGGUCACUAAAUCACUUUUUUGACGGACCUAUAGUGACGAAAAGUGACAACUAGAUAUUUGGUCACUAAAUCACU